GACGAACGCUGGCGGCGUGCUUAACACAUGCAAGUCGAACGGAAAGGCCCUGCUUUUGUGGGGUGCUCGAGUGGCGAACGGGUGAGUAACACGUGAGUAACCUGCCCUUGACUUUGGGAUAACUUCAGGAAACUGGGGCUAUUACCGGAUAGGAGCUCCUGCUGCAUGUGGGGGGUUGGAAAGUUUCGGCGGUUGGGGAUGGACUCGCGGCUUAUCAGCUUGUUGGUGGGGUAGUGGCUUACCAAGGCUUUGACGGGUAGCCGGCCUGAGAGGGUGACCGGCCACAUUGGGACUGAGAUACGGCCCAGACUCCUACGGGAGGCAGCAGUGGGGAAUAUUGCACAAUGGGCGGAAGCCUGAUGCAGCAACGCCGCGUGCGGGAUGACGGCCUUCGGGUUGUAAACCGCUUUCGCCUGUGACGAAGCGUGAGUGACGGUAAUGGGUAAAGAAGCACCGGCUAACUACGUG
rnacentral:rRNA from 1 species